rnacentral:rRNA from 1 species
UCGUAGGGGUCAACAAUCAGCUGCUACAUGCCYCWYUAUGUAGUUCACAGAUCAAACGCGAGKGGCCUCAUAUUCUCCCUUUUCCGUCUUCGUAUGAUGCUAGCUUGAAAGACGAGCUCGGAACUGGGGGAUUAAAAGGUUAAGAUAUGACCGUAGCAGCUCUGCGAGGAGUUUGAUAUUCUAGUUCCGUAGGUGAACCUGCGGAAGGAUCAUUAUCGAGAGGGGGGGCCCUGCGCCCCAGGGGCUUGCCCCGCACCUUUCCACCCUUUGUGUAUCUUCCACCGUUGCUUUGGCGGACCCCGGGGUUUACCCCCCGGCGCCGGCCCUGUAACAGGGGCGGGCGAGCGCCCGCCAGAGGCCCAUCAAAAACUUUUUAUGUCAGUGUAGUCUGAGUUUACGAAUAAUCAAUCAAAACUUUCAACAACGGAUCUCUUGGUUCUGGCAUCGAUGAAGAACGCAGCGAAAUGCGAUAAGUAAUGUGAAUUGCAGAAUUCAGUGAAUCAUCGAAUCUUUGAACGCACAUUGCGCCCUUUGGUAUUCCGAAGGGCAUGCCUGUUCGAGCGUCAUUACACCCCUCAAGCAUUGCUUGGUAUUGGGCGUUCGCCCCCCGGCUCCGGGGUGCGCGCCCGAAAUUCAGUGGCGGUCCAGGUAGACUUCAAGCGCAGUAGACCUAUGUUCGCUUUGGAAGCCUUCUGCCUGCGGCCCGCCAGCGAAACCUUUGUACCCCCAAUCAUGACCUG